rnacentral:lncRNA from 1 species
AAGGCCCGUUUCUUCUUCUUCUUCUUCUUCUUCUUCUUCUGCGGCGCCCGGAGCUCGGCGCUCGGAUCAAUCCCGCCGACGAGCGCCUCCGGCCGCCGCCUCCCUUCCCCCGCCGCGGGAAGCUCAUGGCCCUUCCAGAGCAGCCGCUCCCGUGUCCUGAACGGCCAGCCUCCGGUGCCGCCGCCGCCGCCCGGCCAUCGCGUCAUCUUCAUCCACCCUCGAGGCGACCUCCCCGGAGGGAUGUGUCCUGAGAGCCGAUUUUGCUGGAGACUAACAAACACUAGAGAUGAGAGGUUCCCCAACCAUGCAGGCACAGUUCCUUGGAGAUUGUUCUCUCCCAAUUCAAGGACAAGAAGUGAUGAAAGGUUUUGCAGCGAUGGUAUGCUCCCUGUCAACUCUGCAGAAGGGAUGCUAAGGUACUUGAGUGCUGAGAGGUUUCCAAGUGAGGCAGGAAUGGAGCCUGCCAGCUGAUUAGAACCAAGACCUAGUCCAACAAGGCCAGCAAGAUCACCUAUCUCCUCUGGGAUUUCCCCAGUGAGGUUGCUGAAUUGCAGGUUCAGAGUCAUGAGGUUUGCAAGGUUUCCAAUCUCUGAUGGGAUGCUUCCGGUGAGGGUGUUCAUGCCAAGGCUGAGUACCCUGAGGCCGCGCAACGAGCAGAGCUCCGGCGGUAUCUCGCCGUGGAACCUGUUGUUGUACAGUGCGAGGACCUCGAGGCCGGUGCAGUUGGCGAGCGACGCCGGGAUCUGCCCCUGGAAGGCGUUGUCACUGAGGUUGAGGUGGCUGAGCUCGGCGAGGCCGCCGAGCUCCGGCGGGAGGACGCCGUGCAGCCGGUUGCCGGCGAGGUGGAGCCGCCUCAGGUAUGUGAGGUUGCCGAGGUCCGGUGGCACCGUGCCACGGAGGCCAAGCCCCGGCAGCUCCAGCGCCACGACGCGGCCGCGGCGCCGGCCUCUCGCGCCGCACGCCACGCCGCGCCACCGGCACACGGGGACGGACCGGUUCCCCCACGGCGGCGGCGAGCCACUGCCCGUCGACAUGCGCGCCAUGAACGCCGUCAGCGCGAGGCCGUCGUCGACGUCGACCGCCGCCACGUGGCGGCGGCUGCUAGCCACGCCAGUGGCCAUACCGCGGCGAGCAAGAGACGCUUGCCGGCGAGUGCCAUUGGUGUCACUGUCACGUAAGAACGGUGUGCAAACUGCAUGGAAAUUGCUAUACUGAUGCGAGAGUU